AAAUUACGAGCCCAAGCUUAAAACCCAAAGGACUUGACGGUGUUCCACCCACCUAGAGGAGCCUGUUCUAUAAUCGAUUUUCCCCGAUCAACCCCACCAUCUUUUGAAUACUCAGCCUGUAUACCUCCGUCGCAAGCUUACCCUAUGAAUGCACUUAGUGAGCCCAAUGAUUUAACACCCACACGUCAGGUCAAGGUGCAGCCCACAAGAUGGAAAGAAAUGGGCUACAAUUUCUACCCUAGAACAAACGAAAGACUACAUGAAACACAGCCACUGAAGGCGGAUUUAGUAGUAAAAAGAAAAUAGAGAGUUCUUUUUAAUCAGGCACUGGAACGCGUACACACCGCCCGUCACCCUCUUCAAACACAAAUAUUAUGUUAUUGACACCACACACAAAACAGAAGAGGUAAGUCGUAACACGGUAAGCGUACUGGAAAGUGCGCUUGGAAUAACAAAAUGUAACUUAAUAAAAGUAUCUUGCUUACACCAAGAACAUGUCUGUGAAACCCCGACCAUCUUGAGCUUAAAGCCCAGCCCCACUAAACUUAAUGAAACCA
rnacentral:rRNA from 1 species